rnacentral:rRNA from 1 species
AGGACGAACGCUGGCGGCGUGCUUAACACAUGCAAGUCGAACGGUGAACCCCUUCGGGGGGAUCAGUGGCGAACGGGUGAGUAACACGUGAGCAACCUGCCCCUGACUCUGGGAUAACUCAGGGAAACUUGAGCUAAUACCGGAUACGCCCUUACGGGGAAAGAUUUAUUGCCGAAGGAACGGCCCGCGUCCGAUUAGCUAGUUGGUGAGGUAAUGGCUCACCAAGGCUCCGAUCGGUAGCUGGCCUGAGAGGAUGACCAGCAUCACUGGGACUGAGACACGGCCCAGACUCCUACGGGAGGCAGCAGUGGGGAUAUUGCGCAAUGGGCGAAAGCCUGACGCAGCGACGCCGCGUGGGGAUGGAAGGCCUUCGGGUUGUAAACGUCCUUUCAGCAGGGACGAAGCGAAAGUGACGGUACCUGCAGAAGAAGCGCCGGCUAACUACGUGCCAGCAGCCGC